UACAGAGGGGGCAAGCGUUGUUCGGAAUUACUGGGCGUAAAGGGCGCGUAGGCGGCCUGUUAAGUCGGACGUGAAAUCCCCGGGCUCAACCCGGGAACUGCGUCCGAUACUGGCAGGCUUGAAUCCGGGAGAGGGAUGUGGAAUUCCAGGUGUAGCGGUGAAAUGCGUAGAUAUCUGGAGGAACACCGGUGGCGAAGGCAGCUCGCUGGGACGUGACUGACGCUGAGACGCGAAAGCGUGGGGAGCAAACAGG
rnacentral:rRNA from 1 species